CCACCAAACGCCAGGGUAUUACGAGCCUUAGCUUAAAACCCAAAGGACUUGACGGUAUCCUAUCCAACUAGAGGAGCCUGUUCUAUAAUCGAUAACCCCCGAUUCACCCAACCCCAUUUUGCCAAUCAGCCUGUAUACCUCCGUCGAAAGCUUACCAUAUGAAUGAUUUCAGUAAGUUUAAGGGUCUGAUACACCAACACGUCAGGUCAAGGUGCAGCUUAUGAUGUGGAAAGUAAUGGGCUACAAUUUCUAAUAUAGAUAUACGAAACACUACAUCAAACAUAGUCAUGAAGGCGGAUUUAGCAGUAAAAAGA
rnacentral:rRNA from 1 species